rnacentral:rRNA from 1 species
CUGCCUUCAGGACGGGGAUAACAGGAGGAAACUGCUGCUAAAACCGGAUAUGCCGAAAGGUGAAAGUAUUAAUAGCCUGAAGAGGAGCUCGCGUCUGAUUAGCUAGUUGGUAGGGUAAAAGCGUACCAAGGCGACAAUCAGUAGCUGGUCUGAGAGGACGAUCAGCCACACUGGGACUGAGACACGGCCCAGACUCCUACGGGAGGCAGCAGUGGGGAAUUUUCCGCAAUGGGCGAAAGCCUGACGGAGCAAGACCGCGUGGGGGAGGAAGGUUCUUGGAUUGUAAACCCCUUUUCUCAGGGAAGAAAAAAAUGACGGUACCUGAGGAAUAAGCAUCGGCUAACUCCGUGCCAGCAGCCGCGGUAAUACGGAGGAUGCAAGCGUUAUCCGGAAUAAUUGGGCGUAAAGCGUCCGUAGGUGGUCAUUCAAGUCUGCCGUUAAAGAGUGGGGCUUAACCCCACAAAGGCGGUGGAAACUGAAAGACUAGAGUGCAGUAGGGGUAGAGGGAAUUCCCGGUGUAGCGGUGAAAUGCGUAGAGAUCGGGAAGAACACCGGUGGCGAAAGCGCUCUGCUGGACUGCAACUGACACUGAGGGACGAAAGCUAGGGGAGCGAAUGGGAUUAGAUAC